CAGGUGCUCAAGAUGUUGAAUCAAGGACACGGUGGGUCCUCCAGAGUGAAAUCCUGGAUUUCUCUGAGUCUUCCAGUAGCCGCUAUGAUCAACCAUGCUGGCAAUACCAUGAACAGGAAAGCACUGAUGGAAAUAAACCUGAACUGUCCAGGACAUGAUGGAAAUUCAGAAACAAAGAACAAGAGAAAGCAAAAACAUGAACGUUGAGAUGUCAGGAAGAGAGCAAUGGAAGCCGCAGGUGCUGGUGGAGUGGCGGAGACGGAGACAGCCCCUAAACAAAUUGCUCGGAACCUAACUCCUAAUUCAGCAGUGACUUUGCUAUGUCUAUGAUAGUGAGCAAGGUUUUUGACUUCACUGAGCCUGAGUUUCUUAACCAAUUAAAACUGAAACCAUUCUU